rnacentral:misc_RNA from 1 species
GCUGGUUUUCGUACGCCAUAUUUAUCUUCAUACAUUCUUCCUGCAACAAAUGCAAUUAAAAGAUUUUUAGUCCAUAUUUAUGGAAGCAGGAGUAGCAGUUUCAAUAGGUUUAGUUGCCUCAAAAGCAACGCACGUUCAAAAUAAAUACGCGCAACAAAGAGGUGGACCGUUUAGUUGAGUAACUCCAACGCUUUGUUAAGUGCAUUUAAUUGGCAAUAAACGAUUCGUUGCCAUUCCGCUGCUGCAGUUUCAAAGUGUUGGUGCUCUUUUUGUUUACCCUACUGGAGUGCAAUCCGGAAUAAAGUACAUAAUAAAAUUAAAAACGCAAAAUACAAUAACCCGUAAAGCAACUAUUAAAUCGAGAAACGUAAAACUUCUUAAGCACAAUUUUUGCAUUUAAUGAAUAAAGGCAGAGAGCUUGUAAUUGAGAACUAAACUGCGAUUUUAAUACAAACAUACGGAUAUACAAUUGUUUUGCUCUACAACGUCGCGAAUAUGUCUACUAACAAAGAUAGCCCUAGUCGUGAUUCCAUGACAUCCUCAUCUGCACCCAUAUCUCUACUGGCUGAUGGUGAUUCCCUAACCCGAGACUAUAGUUUAGGCAGCCUUACAUCUGCCGUAAGUCAAGAUGAAUAUUUCCGUUGUCGUGAUCACGCGGAAAGUGUAUUAAAGCGCUUGCAGUUAUACUUGGACAGUCAUCAGCUCUGCGAUGUAGUAUUAAUUGCUGGAAUCGACGGCAAGCGAGUGCCAGCCCAUCGUGUAGUAUUGUCAGCAUCGAGCGCCUACUUUGCCGCCAUGUUCACCGGUUCAUUGCGUGAGACCAAAGAGCAGGAAGUCACGCUUGGCGAGGUGCAUGGCGAUGCAUUACAAAUACUAAUACAAUACUGUUAUACGGGUUAUAUUGAGCUGCGCGAAGAUACUGUAGAAACGCUCCUAGCCACUGCCUGUCUGCUACAGUUGAACUCUGUAGUCACUGCCUGUUGCAACUUCCUUGCGCGCCAGUUGCAUCCCUCAAACUGCCUGGGCUUUGCCUUCUUUGCAGAACGACAAAGCUGCACAACGCUACUACGUCUGGCCAAAUCCUACACAUGCCAGCAUUUCAUGCAGGUUUGCAAAAAUCAAGAAUUCCUGCAACUCGACUCCGAGCAGCUGGGUAAGCUAAUUUCUAGCGAUGAUCUCAAUGUGCCCACCGAGGAGGACGUAGUGCACAGUCUCAAGAUGUGGGUGCAACACGAUCCCGCCAGCCGCGAGAAACACAUUCCCGAGUUGCUGGCGUUAGUGCGUUUGCCGCUGCUGAAACCCUCAUUUAUUAUGGAUCAUGUAGAAACGCUGUGCAGUUCCAAUGAAUGUCAACAGCUUGUGAUGGAAGCGCUUAAGUGGCAUUUAUUGCCCGAACGACGGAAUUUGUUAGCUUUAAUAGCUUCGGAGCGCACAAAGCCGCGUAAGUCGACGGUCGGUCGUUUGUUGGCGGUGGGCGGCAUGGAUGCGCACAAGGGCGCUAUAAGUAUUGAAAGCUACUGUCCGUAUGCGGACAAGUGGUCGGUGUGGAAGAAUAUGUCCGCACGUCGUUUACAAUUCGGUGUUGCUGUGAUGGAUGAUAAGUUAGUUAUAGUGGGCGGUCGCGAUGGCUUAAAAACGCUCAAUACUGUAGAGAGUUUAGACUUGAAUACGAUGGUAUGGACAGCGCUGAAUCCGAUGGGUACGCACCGUCAUGGUUUGGGCGUGGCGGUAUUGGAGGGUCCACUUUAUGCGGUCGGUGGUCAUGAUGGUUGGAGCUAUUUGUCCACUGUUGAACGUUGGGACCCAAGCACACGUACCUGGAGUUACGUGGCUUCGAUGUCCUCAAUGCGUUCAACCGCUGGCGUGGCAGUGCUUGGUGGGCGUUUAUAUGUGGUAGGUGGUCGAGAUGGUUCGGUGUGCCAUCGUUCGAUCGAAUGUUACGAUCCGCACACCAAUAAAUGGACCAUGCGUGCGCCAAUGAACAAACGACGCGGUGGCGUAGGCGUUGCUGUGGCUAAUGGAUUCCUAUACGCGUUGGGUGGCCACGAUUGUCCGGCCAGCAAUCCUUCUGUUUGCCGCACCGAUACAGUGGAGCGCUACGACCCCGCAACAGAUUCUUGGACUUUGAUCUGUUCGCUUAACGUCGGACGCGAUGCUAUCGGCUGCGCUUUGCUAGGCGAUCGCCUUAUGGCAAUUGGCGGUUAUGAUGGCAAUCAUUAUUUAAAAACCGUUGAAGUAUACAAUGCAGAGACAAACGAGUGGACUCAAGCUGCACCGCUGACAUACAGUCGCGCAGGCGCAAGCGUUGUGGCAAUACCGAAUAUCAUACCACCAACACCACCAUUACCCAGCGCAACAGUUUAGUUUUAUAUUCAAUUUUUUUUUUGCUCAUCCUUCAUCUAUCUAUCUUUUGUUGUUGCGUUAUUAUGUGAAGUGGCUUAUUUAUAGUAUUAUUGCUUUGGAAAGUUGGCAAAUAAUUUGGUUUUGAAAAGAAGCAUGUUAAGUUAAUGAAGACAUUGUUGGUUAACGUGAAUACGAAAGAAGUGCGCUAACUGCAUCCCGUCUAGCUUGCAUAUUUCGUUACUGCUCUUGCGCUCAAAACAUUCCAAGAAAUGGAAACCGGUCAGAUUGAAUCCGAUGUGUUACAGACGCACCGUUGAAUUUGUCGAUUAUUACAACCUUUAAGCAACUACAUACAUACAUACAUUAAUACAACAAUACAUUUUUUAUCAUAUUUUUUUACCAAACG